CACGUAGGCACCAAGCGUUAUCCGGAUUUAUUGGGCGUAAAGGGCGUGUAGGCGGCUUCGUGUGUCCCAUGUGAAAGCCCUCGGCUCAACCGGGGAACUGCAUGGGAAACUGCGGAGCUUGAGUCCGGGAGAGGUGAGUGGAAUUCCCAGUGUAGCGGUGAAAUGCGUAGAUAUUGGGAGGAGCACCGGUGGCGAAGGCGGCUCACUGGACCGGUACUGACGCUGAGACGCGAAAGCCAGGGGAGCAAACGGG
rnacentral:rRNA from 1 species